AUACAGAGGGUGCGAGCGUUAAUCGGAAUUACUGGGCGUAAAGCGCGCGUAGGCGGCUUAUUAAGUCAGAUGUGAAAUCCCCGGGCUCAACCUGGGAACUGCAUCUGAUACUGGUAAGCUAGAGUUUUGGAGAGGGAAGUAGAAUUUCAGGUGUAGCGGUGAAAUGCAUAGAGAUCAGAAGGAAUACCAGUGGCGAAGGCGACUUCCUGGCCAAAAACUGACGCUGAGGUGCGAAAGCGUGGGUAGCAAACGGGAUUAGAAACCCUAGUAGUCC
rnacentral:rRNA from 1 species